rnacentral:rRNA from 1 species
GACGAACGCUGGCGGCGUGCUUAACACAUGCAAGUCGAACGGAAAGGCCUUUUCGGAGGUACUCGAGUGGCGAACGGGUGAGUAACACGUGGGUGAUCUGCCCUGCACUCUGGGAUAAGCCUGGGAAACUGGGUCUAAUACCGGAUAGGACCGCACUUUAGUGUGUGUGGUGGAAAGUUUUUUCGGUGUAGGAUGAGCCCGCGGCCUAUCAGCUUGUUGGUGGGGUAAUGGCCUACCAAGGCGGCGACGGGUAGCCGGACUGAGAGGUUGGUCGGCCACAUUGGGAAUGAGAUACGGACAAGACUCCGACGGGAGGCAGCAGGGGGGAAUAUUGCACAAUGGGCGCAAGCCUGAUGCAGAGAAGCCGCGGGGGGGAGGACGGCCUUCGGGUUGGAAACUCAGUUCGCAAGGGACGAAGCGUUUUGUGACGGUACCUGGAGAUGAAGCACCGGCUAACUACGUG